rnacentral:rRNA from 1 species
AUUGAACGCUGGCGGCAUGCCUUACACAUGCAAGUCGAACGGUAACAGGUCUUCGGAUGCUGACGAGUGGCGAACGGGUGAGUAAUACAUCGGAACGUGCCUAGUAGUGGGGGAUAACUACUCGAAAGAGUGGCUAAUACCGCAUGAGAUCUACGGAUGAAAGCAGGGGAUCGCGAGACCUUGUGCUACUAGAGCGGCCGAUGGCAGAUUAGGUAGUUGGUGGGAUAAAAGCUUACCAAGCCGACGAUCUGUAGCUGGUCUGAGAGGACGAUCAGCCAGACUGGGACUGAGACAAGGCCCAGACUCCUACGGGAGGCAGCAGUGGGGAAUUUUGGACAAUGGGCGCAAGCCUGAUCCAGCAAUGCCGCGUGCAGGAUGAAGGCCUUCGGGUUGUAAACUGCUUUUGUACGGAACGAAAAGCCCUGGGUUAAUACCCUGGGGUCAUGACGGUACCGUAAGAAUAAGCACCGGCUAACUACGUGCCAGCAGCCGCCGUAACAC